CCUACGGGUGGCAGCAGUGAGGAAUAUUGGUCAAUGGACGAGAGUCUGAACCAGCCACGUAGCGUGAAGGCUGACUGCCCUAUGGGUUGUAAACUUCUUUUCUAAAGUACUAAAACGAGGCACGUGUGCCUUUUUGCAUGUACUUUAUGAAUAAGGAUAGGCUAACUCAGUGCCAGCAGCCGCGGUAAUACGGAGGAUCCGAGCGUUAUCCGGAUUUAUUGGGUUUAAAGGGAGCGUAGAUGGGUUGUUAAGUCAGUUGUGAAAGUUUGCGGCUCAACCGUAAAAUUGCAAUUGAUACUGGCAGUCGUGAGUACAGUUGAGGUAGGCGGAAUUAGUGGUGUAGCGGUGAAAUGCUUAGAUAUCACGAAGAACCCCGAUUGCGAAGGCAGCUUACUAAACUGUGACUGACAUUGAUGCUCGAAAGUGUGGGUAUCAAACAGGAUUAGAUACCCUAGUAGUC
rnacentral:rRNA from 1 species